rnacentral:sRNA from 1 species
AACGAUUAUGAAUAAUAACCAAAAAUAUUACAGAUUAAAUAAUAAGAAAAAUAUCCCUUUCCUCAUUGACAACGCUUCCACCCGGUGAUAUAGUCAAACUUGUGGAGGAUAAAAACUCCACGGCAUUUGAAGAUGAAGGGAAUGUUAUCGACAUGCAAGGUAAAGUAAAAUGGUUCAACGCUGAAAAAGGUUAUGGCUUCAUCGAAACUGCAGAAGGCAACGACGUAUUCGUACACUUCUCCGCUAUCCAAUCCGAAGGAUUCAAGACUUUGGAAGAAGGUCAAUCCGUAGAAUUCGAUAUCGUUGAAGGCGCUCGCGGUCCACAAGCGGCUAACGUAAUCAAACUGUAAUCAUACCCGACGUGAGUCGAAUUAUAUAUGAUUCCGAUUAGCUACACGCCCCUGGCUUAAUGCCAGGGGUUUUUA